GAAACUUUCUGUGUGUGUGGAAGUUUCUGGGACAGUCAUGUCUUUACUUCCCAGGACCGCGCUUUGGUAGGGACACUGAGGAUGCCCCCCAACAGGGGCCUCUGAGGAUUAAACCCCCGUGAUCAGAUGCAACUGCAUAGAAUUUCCUUCAGUCCUCACUACCACACCGAAUGGGAGGGAGACCCGGGAGGGAGACGUCCUGAUUUUACAGAGGAGGAAAGGGGGUUCAGGAAGGUGAUGCGCCUAAAGGGGCCCUGCCUUGAAGGGUCUCCCACCUCCCAUCUCUCAGGGCCUGAGGCUCCACUGAGACCAGAAGUUUCUUUAAGGCCUCUUUGGCUCAAGAAUGGGCCUUUCAGACCCUGUGCUCUGUUGGCUCAGGGGGCACAGUCAGAGUGAGGUGGGGGCUGGGACUGGCCAGGCUCCAUCUGCCUCAGGCCUGGCUUUUUUUCCUCAGAGAGAGAGCCAAAGAAAACCAGGAACAGGCCCAACACCAUCUGGAGGGGGACAGAGCUUGGAGACUCUGAGAUGGGUGGAAGCAGGGAGUAGCCAAGGGAGCUGGGGAGAGGCAGCCUCAGGGGGGAAGCGUGAGGAUACAGAGGACUUCAGAGGUGGUGGAGGCUGAGUGGUGGGGGAUUGGGUUCUGGAAAAGGGGUCCCACGUACUCCCCUAUCUGGCUCCUCAUGGUGUCCUCCUGGAAGGAGGUGGGGGCCCAUACCAGCCUCUAGCUUUUCUACCUCUGCCCCUAAAACAAGCCUCCACUCACCUGCUCAUCUCCUCUGCCCACCCACCACCCCUACACCCCACUCCCCUCGGGCCAGGGCCGAGCCCUCUUGGGUCCCCUCUGAUUCCCCUUCCCCUGGCCUUCCUGGAACCCCGUUCUGUCCAGCCUUGGAGGGUUUUGUGGAGACCUCUGGCCUUGAAUCCAACUUUGGGCAAUGGAUGGGUUCUCAAAGUCUUGGGGAGCUUAUCAUGGGGAUCUGGGGGACUCAGGCUUCUUUAGUCCCUACUGGCAGGCAUAUUCCCAUCCCCUUUUUCUCCCGACUUCUAUUUUGUCUGGCUUCAUGGGAGGAGAAAGCACGUAGAGGACAAAGGGCCAGGGGCCUGGAGAUGGAGGUGUUCUGCCUGAUGUGUGUGGGGGGUACUCUUCGGUUUUCUGUCUCCCUCAGCUAGCCACCCCCCCCAACCCCAAUCACAAAGCCUGGAAAACCAGGGUCACACGAGGUCAGGCCACAUCUUUAAAGGCUGUGUCUGCUCUUUGGAAAGCACUCAUCUGUUUAUACCAACCACAGUGGUAGGGGGUGUGGGGGGGCUAUCUGUGUACAAUGACAACUGGGGCUGAGUGUGGGAAAGAAGCCUCCACACAGACCUUAUUUGUCCAUAAACACAGUCAGCUUGUGCCCCCAGGCAGAGAAAAAACAAAGCCACUAAGGACGGGGACUCCUCUCCUACGCCCUGGGAGGGGGCACUCCCAGGCACACCCCCUCCUCCCCACCUGGGCAACUCUCCCUCCUAGGCCACCCAGAGAGUUUCCACAGCAAUCUGGGCUGUGUUCUGUAAAGUGUGGUCCCCUAGCCAGGCAGCCCCCUGGAAAAGGACAAGUGUCCUACACCUGUUGGGGGAAGGAGAGGAGAAAGGGAAGGCACACCCCCCACCCCUGCCUGCGCUUGGGCUUCCUGAUAGGUCCCACGUUUUCUAGAGCCCUGGAUGCUCAGCCAAUAGAAGUUUUCUGGCCUUGCCCCACCGCUUUGUGGGUCUGCUUCUGUGCAUAAAGGCUGGGGCCCCAGCAGGACAGUCCAGUGAAUCUGGCCCAACCCAGUGCUGAGCUCUCUGUUACACAGCUGGCCCUGGCUUUCUUUCCAAGAUGCUGUUUUGGCAUAACCAGUCAGAGCACCUAUGGCCCAGUCCCCGGAAACUGUACCCAGGGUCUCCAAGUGGCUUGCUCAGGUAAGGGCCAGAACCCCUUUCCCUGGCCUCCAAGCAUGGUCCUGGUCUGUGCAGCGGGGACAGCCAGGGCCAUCAGGUUCAAGUGGAGGGGGCUGGGCCUCCUGGCUCCGGUACCUUUGCAGGUGGAGGAAUGGUCCACCCUAUGACGUGCGGAUGCUUGGUAACACCAGACUGAGUGACGCUACUGCCUGGGCCUGGCUAUUGAAGAUGUGCCCCUGUCCAUGGGGGUGAUGGAACCCCAGAUGCUGCUCUCACCACUCAACACAGUGGAGUUUCAUUGGAACCUCCCAAUGCAGUUUGGAGUUUCAAGUUGCAAGUUUCAAAUAUCUUGAAGUUUCAAGAGGAUCUCCCUCUUCUGAUUCACUGCAUCAGCACCGUGUUUGCUCCUUCCAAGACGGGUGGAGAGAAAGGUGUCCCACCUCCAGAUCCACACUUUCAAGGCCAGCAACAGCGCACCUGCACACAGCCGGCUGCCUCGCCAAAGUUUUCAAGGCCUCUUUCCGCCGUGUGGCCCUGACUCUGCAGGCACUGAUCUGCUGAAGCUUACCCGCCAGGAUCUCGUCCAGAUCUGCCGGGCUUCGGAUGGGAUCUGCCCUCUCAGUGCUCUUCGAGCAAAUGCUCUUCCUGCUGGGCACUUUCUCUCUGUAGUUGUGUUUACCAACUCAGCUAAUGGUUGUGACUCGUGGCAUAGUCAAGCUGUAAGGUAACUUAAAGACCAUUUAGUCCCAUGGCCUCUUUUUACAGAGGAAGAAACUCAGCCCCCCGACAGUGACCUACCUGCUUGAGAUCAAGAAUAAAGCUGGCAGGGAUGAGCUAAAAGGUUAGGCUCCUGUGACCUCCUUUUUCUGGACCCAUCCCACCCGCAUCACUCCAUUUCUGAGGACAGAGAUGGAUUUUUCUGUCUUCUCUUCCCCCAGGGUCCACCAUUCAUAAAAUGUCUUAAGAAAUGAGUGGUGACCUCCCUCCCUGGAGACCUGGCAGGAGUUGGGAUCCCUCCCAGGGAGGGGCUGUUAAUUUAGGUGUGAAGUGUUGAUGUAUAAACUUCCCGACCCAGGCCCAUUCGUCACCAGCUGACUGACGGCAUGUGGCUCAACAGGCCUCUAGGCAAGAGAACAAAGUUCCUAAGAACCCCAGCUCGGGUGACGUUCUGGUCUCUCUCUGCAGGUGGAGAUUCAGGUGUGGCUGCUCGGAACAUCUUCUUGCCUGGGGAGAGGGUGAUCCUCCAUCAUUCCUGGGACCGAGAUGCCUUACCUGGCAUUCCUCGGUCUUCCAUGACCAGAUUAGUCCUCUCCUUCCAAGAUGUCCCCUGGGAUUAUUCCUCCAUGUUCCAUUUCCUAAACCUAUCGUUGUCAUUGUCGAUAUGUGGCAUUAGAACAUUAUAAUCCUACUGUAUUAGAGUUUCAGUCAUUCAUAUGCCUGGUGGCCCCCCUUUUUAAAUUGGGGGCUCCCCUCAGUCUGAGGCCUCCCCAAAGCUGAGAAAUAGGUGAGGAUUAAAUGGAUUUAUAAACCUUUUUCCUUUACUCCUUCCUGCCCCCGUCCCACAAGAAGCUAAUCACCUUGUCCUCUCCUUCCUGGUCUCUGGGGCUCUCUCAGCCGCCCCCGGCCCCCCACCCCCACCCCCGCCACUGAUUCCCGCCCUGUGCUGCUCACAUCCCCAGGCUUUUAUCAAGAGAUCUCUCUAGAUGAACUCAGCGCUGUGCAGCUGUCUGUGAAGCUGGCUGA